AUUGAACGCUGGCGGCAGGCUUAACACAUGCAAGUCGAACGAGUGGCGGACGGGUGAGUAAUGUUUGGGAAUCUAGCUUAUGGAUGGGGAUAACUACUGGAAACGGUGGCUAAUACCGCAUACUAUCGGAUGAACCCAUAUGGGAUUAGCGAGUAGGUGGGGUAAAGGCUCACUUAGGCGACGAUCUAUAGCUGGUCUGAGAGGAUGAUCAGCCACACUGGGACUGAGACACGGCCCAGACUCCUACGGGAGGCAGCAGUGGGGUAUAGUGCACAAUGGGCGAAAGCCUGAUGCAGCCAUGCCGCGUGUAUGAAGAAGGCCUUAGGGUGGUAAAGUACUUUCAGCGGGGAGGCGUGACCCGCAGAAGAAGCACCGGCUAACUCCGUGCCAGCAGCCGCGGUAAUAC
rnacentral:rRNA from 1 species